rnacentral:lncRNA from 1 species
CUCGUUUCAGUGCUGUUUUGGGUGCACAAGUAAACACUGCCUGUGAAACUUGCAUUUUUGCCUUGAUUCUCAGUGUUCUUUCAGAUUAUAAAUCUGGCUUGCCUCUUUGUCCCAGCACUAACCAUGAGUUUGAGAUGAGAGAGAUCAUCACUCAGCCACCAAUCUGUGUUUAAGUGAUGAGAGCCAUGUGCCUAUGUGAAAUAAGCUUAGGGGAUUUGGGGAUGGAGAGCAGAAAACUAAAUCUAAAUGGUGAUGAUAUAGGACUUAGUUGUAGGAAUUAGUUUAAAAAUAAACAAAUGGUUUAAAAGUACCUAAAUUAGUCCAGUGCCUGUAACUUUGCAUUUUUACUAGAGAUGCAUUUCUCGUCUCUGUGCCUAAAGGGCUAUGGGUUGAAAUUGCUUUAACUACCACAGUGAAAUAUUUGACAAAUCCUACAGCAAUGACCUGUCAUUUAACGUAUUAGUGUACUGCCAAGUAUUUGCGUGAUAUUUUGUUACUUUACAAUGGUUGAAUGCAUUUGAGUUGAAUUAUAAUUGGUGGUAAGGGUUGUAUAUAACUAUCCAAUCUCUAAAGUUUAUGGAGGCAUUGACUUUAUUCCUUGCUGUAUUUUCUGAGUGAUAAAAAUGAUGCAUUCCUUCUUCCCCAAAAAACUCAGCAAAUGUUUGUAACCAGAUUUUCCUUGUUUCACAUGUUUACUGUGUAACACUACAGCAUAUUUAAUAUUAGUAAAAACUGUAAUUUCAGUCAUCAUGCAUAACUACAUUCCUGAGGUAUAUUUACCAUCAGUUUGAGAUUUCAGUUACUUCAUCUUCUGUUUGGUUCAGAAAAACUUGGGCCAUGAGGUGGUAUGCAGGCCAUUUUUUAGAAUAGAUUAUUUUUUGAAUCUGUUAUUUUAUUGGGGAUUUGUUUUCUCUCCCCAUGUUUAGAAGACGAACUAGAAAAGGGUGUGUGUGUGCACAGAAAAGGCCUUUGAUUUGGUGAAUGUAAUUUCUAGGAUUCAAAUUUUUUAAAAUCCAGAUUAUAAAAUGGUAACACUCAAACUUGGUAAGAUCCUUUAAAGUGGAAUAAGUAUGAAAUUUUUAUGGAGCCAAGUACUUUCAAGUCACCCUGGAAAUAGUCUUUUUAUGAGAAGGAUGAACACAAACAUUGGUCAGGAACAUUGACAACCAACAUAUGAAAAGGCCUGGGGUAGUAACUAGGUUACACUAAAGUUAUUUUCAAGUGAGAUAGCUGGAAAAGUGUGCAAACCACCAGCUCCAAUUCUAG